AAAACGUAAAAUUGUCGGGGGAGAAUAAAAGAGAGAGAAGAGGUACACUCAGGUAAGGUUCGGUGCAGUGCGAACAGUUGCAGUUGUUGAUUCAAAUAUCCAAUUCCCAACAAACAACCCAAUCUUACUAAGCAACAGAACAGACACACGCGCCAAUCAAAAUGGCGGAUCCGAUCGUUGCGCCACCAAGAUCCGCCACCGACCUCUUUUCGGAUCCACUCGACGCCCACCCGCUAUGGUUCAAACCCGCAUCGUUUCUCUCCCCAGACUUCGAUUCCGAAUCCUACAUUUCGGAGCUCCGAACCUUCGUUCCCUUCGACACUCUCCGUUCUGAACUCAACAACUACCUCUCUUCUCUCAACCACGAACUCAUCGACCUCAUCAACCGUGACUACGCCGAUUUCGUUAACCUCAGCACCAAACUCGUCGACGUCGACGCCGCAGUGGUGCGCAUGCGGGCCCCGCUCGUGGAGCUCCGAGAGAAGAUCGAGCAGUUCAGAGGAUCCGUUCAGGUUUCGCUCGUCGCUAUAAAGAACGGUUUGAAGCAAAGAUCUGAGGCUGCUUCCGCUAGAGAGACUUUGGAGCUUCUCCUUGACACGUUUCACGUCGUUUCCAAGGUUGAGAAACUAAUAAAAGAGCUGCCUAGUGUACCCACCGACUGGUCAAAUGGAGAUGUAAAUUUGCCAGAGGGAAAUUUCUUGAGCAAUGGAGUUCCCGUGCAGCAUGCUGAGAAUGGGACAAGUAUCAGAGAGACUCAAAGCAUGCUGCUGGAAAGAAUUGCCAGUGAGAUGAACCGACUAAAGUUCUAUGUCACACAUGCAAAGUACAGAACCUGCCUUUUAUUGAGAAUAUGGAGAAGAGGUUUCAAAAUGCAAGCCUUACAGUGGAUGCAAGCUUGGGGCAUUGCUUUGUAGAUGGUUUAGAGCACCGGGAUGCAACUGCAAUUUACAAUUGCUUACGUGCAUAUGCUGCCAUAGAUAACACCAAAAAUGCAGAAGAAAUUUUUCGAAUCACUGUUGUGGCUCCACUGAUACAGAGGAUUAUCCCACAUGGAUCAUCAGCUGUGGUUGCUGGAUCAUCUGGGGAUGGACUUGAAAAUGAUUAUCAACUAAUUGAGGAGUGUAUUGAUAAAGACUGUAAAUUCUUAUUGGAAAUUUCUUCAGCUGAAAAUUCAGGUUUGCAUGUCUUUGACUUCUUAGCCAAUUCAAUCCUUAAAGAGGUUCUCUCUGCAAUUCAGAAGGGAAAACCAGGUGCAUUUUCUCCUGGAAGACCAACAGAGUUCUUGAAAAAUUACAAAUCAAGCUUAGAUUUCUUGGCUUAUUUAGAAGGCUACUGUCCAUCCAGAUCUGCUGUUGCUAAAUUUCGAUCUGAAUCAGUUUAUGCUGAGUUCAUGAAGCAAUGGAAUAUUGGAGUAUAUUUUUCUUUGAGGUUUCAGGAAAUAGCAGGGUCUCUAGAAUCUGUGCUUACAACAUCUAGUCUGGUUCCUGUUCAAAAUUCAGAUGGUGGUGAAGCAAAUUAUCAAGAUUUAACAUUAAAACACAGUGUUACUCUGCUGGAGAGUUUGAGAUCGUGCUGGAGAGAAGAUGUUCUUGUCCUUUCAUGUUCUGACAAGUUCCUUAGACUAUCCUUGCAGCUUCUUUCUAGGUCAGUUUAAGCUGGGAUGUUAAGAAUGUGUGUGUUUUUAAAAAUAUGCUGACAGAACAAAAAUGACUUCUCUUCACUUACAGAUACUCAAAUUGGCUGUCAUCUGGACUGACUGCUCGCAAGAACCAUAACACAAGUACUAGCUCUGGGUGUGAAUGGGCUGUUACGGCUGUCAUAGAUGACUUCAUUUUUGUUAUUCAUGAUAUAAGAUGUUUGGAGGAGCUGGUCCGUGGUGAUUACCUGCAACAUGUGCUUCAGCUUUUGUCUUUGUGCUCCCCUGAUGUUCUUGAAUCAGUAAGACAGAGCAUCUUACAGGGUGGUCAAUCAUUGAAAUCUUUAGAACCUUUAGUCAUCAAAGCAGUGGUGGAGUCGCUAGUUGAAAAAUCAGUUGAGGACUUGAGACAAAUGAAGGGGAUAACAGCAACCUAUAGGAUGACUAAUAAACCUCUACCUGUGAGGCAUUCGCCAUAUGUUUCAGGGGUACUACGUCCCCUUAAGGCUUUUUUGGAUGGGGAGAGAGCUACAAGAUAUUUGGCCAAUGAAACUAGGAAUGAAAUACUCCUCUGGGCUGCUACUGAGAUUACUGACCGUUAUUAUGAAUUAGCUGCUGACCUUGUUAGCGUGGCACGAAAGACGGAGUCUUCACUCCAGAAAAUUAGGCAGAGUGCACAAAGACGAGCUGGAGCAAGUUCAGAUAUCUCAGAUAAUAAUGUGUCUGACACUGAUAAAAUCUGCAUGCAGUUGUUCCUUGAUAUUCAGGAGUAUGCCCGUAACCUAUCCGCACUAGGGGUUGAAGCAGUUAAUAUUGCAUCCUACCGUUCAUUGUGGCAUUGUGUGGCUCCUGCAGAUAGACAAAACACUAUUAAUCUCUAAGAGUUUGCACCUGUGGAGUAAAUGCGGCAUGUAGAUUGCUUUCUUCCUUGGUCAAGAGUUUCUUUUGUAAUUUAUUUAUGAAAUCCAUAAUACGCAAAUUUGUUGGCUUUACACAAUAAUCACAGGUUAUCUUGGUUCUUAAAGGGAAGAAAAAAAAAUAUUUUGUUCAUUACUGUUGUGUUAUCUUUUAAGGUUCUCCAUUAUCACUGCGAUAAAAGAUGUAUGAUAUUCUUUGCGGCUUUGCUUCUUAUCAUUCAUUCUUUUAAAUUGCUGGUGCAAACUUACGGCCAAUUGACGGUCUGAAAGAUCGAAAUAUGUUGUAUAUCCUAAAUGUUUGUUUGCCAUUUGGUUACAGCCCGUAAUGCAAUCCUCCAAGUACAAGAAUAAAUUAAAAUUUUAAGAUGUGUGACAUUCUUUGUUGUAUCUUUCUUAUAAUGGUUGUAUAACGAUUUCUCCGGUCAGAUAAUAGGAAAUUGAAAAGUAUAUGGGAAUCAGUUAGACGGAAUCCUAUCGUGACAAAAUUAAAAUGGCAAGUUUAGCUCAGGGAGUAGAACCAAAUCGUAAAGUUUGAUA